UAAAUUAUCCUACACAUGUACAAUUUUUUAAGAGAUUUAGGAAUGUAAAGUGAAAUAUCUAAUUAAACAUGUUCUUGAAAGUAUAGAUAGACAACUUGUUAAAUGAGAUAACUUAGAUUAUUUAAUAAUUAAAGCAACCUAAGGCCUGGCAUGCUUUUCAAGUUUACUACUAAGCAAACUGAAAUAAACAGAGUGUGACUACACCAUCAGCCCUUACUAGGUGCAAGCAAACAUACAGAGUUCACCAAUUAAGCUGCCAUAUAAAAAUGUUCAGUUAUACAACACAGCUACCUACAUGAUUUUAGUAGGGAAGUGAACUAUUAUAUAUACAACUAAUGUUCAAUAUACUACUAAAGUGAAUUCAAAAUAACUUCAACUCUUUAUUUUUGUAUUCAUACUUCAAGUUUCGGCUUACAAGAUUCAAUAAAUCAAUUGUGUACCUGGUAUUGAAAAGCAAAAGAAGAAAAGUGAUUGAUCAACACAGCAGUAGUAUACACAGCAACAGCAAAACUCAACAACAAUCAGUAAAACCCAGUAGCAAACAGUAGGAGAAACCCCAGGAACAUAUUGAAAACCAAGUAGAAAAAAUCCAAGAAACUAAUGCAACAAUGUUUGAAUCCCAAUCGAAAAAGCCCAACAAUACCAAUUGAAAACCAGUGGUAUCAAACAAUAAACACCAAAUCCCAAAUCGAGAUCGACAGUAGCUUUUGAUUUAAAGCACUUAAGAAGAAAAAAUCUGAAGCUCUCUUUUGGUCAGCUUAGCCUUAAACCUCACUCUAUCCCUCAUUAUAUUCUCUCGGGUAUUUUUCAGUAUCUUCAAGCUCUCUUCUAAGUGCCAAAAUAACUCUUAUUUAUCUCUAAAACAAGACUCUCUUCCCCUUUAAUUACUAUUCCUACCCCAUUUAUUAUUACCCCUUUUGAUUACACCCACUCCUUUCUUUACUUUCCAGCCCAAAAUAUUCCCAUCUAUGUGUAUCUUUUACCCCUUUAUUACCACUUGUACUAUUUCUGAUUUUCAAUUAAGCAAAAGCAGUCAAACAAUCCCCACAAUCCCCCCUUUUUACUAAUAUAUUAGUGUACUACUUAUUACUUAAUGGCCCCCUCAUACCAUUAUGUGUUGUACCCCAACUUAUUAAACUAAUGUUAUAGACUACUUAUCUGCCCAAUUAUUAAAACUCCUCCUAUUUAAAACAACCAACAGACCUUUUUUCUCUAAAGACAGCCCCACUUACCCGACCAAGAAUGCACAAAAUCUACCCAUUUUUACUAAAAGUUCCACUAUCUAAUGUUUUCCUUACUUUAUUCCCUAAAUCCCUCUUGUUCUCCACCAACACAUUAUUUAAAAGGCCUCUAAAUAUCCCACUAUCAAGGCUACUAAUAUUAAACAAUUUUCCUAAUUUUUCCAAUUCCUAAAUUACCCCUAAAGCUCCUAAAAAUUACUGCCAUGCCCUAUACUUUCUUAACUUGUUAUUAGAUCCUUAAAUUAUGGACCUGUUCAAUCCUAAACACUGAUUGCUAACCAUUAAUUUACAACAGCUAUAGCCAAUCCUUAAAUGAUUCCUGAUUUAACUAAAACAGAAGAAUCUGAAAUUGAAGCACAACCAGGCUACGGAUGUUCAUAGAAACAACCAAAAUAUAAAGAAAGAAAAAAAUGAAUUGAGAAUUCCGGGAAGCAACAGUUACUUAACUUAGCAAAUCAAGCAACACUUGAAUUCAAACAAUUGAACUCAAAUAACAAUUGAAUUCAAAUUAAACCAAACAACAUUACAACAAGAACACAAUGAAUAAACUAUCAUAAUUUCAGAUUAUGCCUAAAUACGAACAAGGAACAAUGUAAAUACAUUGGACGAAAAGAACUGAAUGCAUAUGCAAUGCUACGACACAGGAAAAAAAAUACUUCAAAUAAAAAAGUAGAUACCUGGUUUGUACAAGAAUCACCGAAAUGGGUGUUUCGAUCACUUCACUGAAAUAGAGCGAUUGUCAUUAGUGAGUUUUUUUUCAAUGCUCUCAACUGAAUCGGAAACAACGAGAAGGAGAUCAGGAAUUGAUUCAAUAUGAAGCCUACGAAAGAACAACCGCAUCCACGAACGAACAGAAGAGUGAAUGGACGUAGCCACGAACGAGCAGACGCAAUAAUAGCCUUCUCCGUUCUGGUGCUUGUAACGGGAUGGGCGACGGAUCGAAUCUCGUCGUUGGAAUCGUCGAGCUGAACGAUUUUCGACCUGGUUUUGGUACUGUUGGUUCCGGCGGACUAUUGGUUCGUGAAUAAUUCUGCGGACAUUUUCGAGCUGAACGAUUCCGGUGGACUAUUGGUUCGAAGAAGGUGGACGAACAGGUGGUCGCCUGGUUCGAAGAGGAAGAUGAACGGGGGCAGUGGGGUUUGACCGUGGGGGGUUGCUUGGGGGGUUCGAAGAAGAAGAACAGAGGCGGGCACUGGGGUGGUCUAGUUCGUGAGGGGGGCGGUGAGAAGGGUUGGUGGUGUGAGGAAGAUGAGAAAAAUGGGGGCUGGGUGUUCUAAGGGUGGCGGCUGAGGAGUUACUUUUAGGGUUGAUGGUUUUGUGAGUAUGUUGAAAAUGAAGAAGA
rnacentral:lncRNA from 1 species